rnacentral:tRNA from 1 species
CAUUAAAUAUCUUAAUAAAAGAAUUAAAUUUUUAAUUUAAAUUAUAAUACAAAUAUGUAUUUUUAAUGA